GGAAAUGUGGCUAAGUGGUAGACUGCUUGUCUGGCAUGCAUGAAGCCCUAGGUUCAAUUCCUCAUUACCA
rnacentral:tRNA from 1 species